UGAUUUUAUUUUAGAUUACAUAUUCUGAUUUCCUGUGGCCACCCUGCUGUGUUCACCCCUGUGUCACCUUAUUUUACAAAUCCUGGAAACGCCCCUGACCUGCAUCAGUGGGCGGUGCUAAACACUAGUCUGCUUUUGAUCUGCAAACAAAUAGAUAACUGUUACGCUGUAAUAUUAAUCAUGUAUAUCCUGCCUAUAUAAGCACCAUAAUAAUAAUAAUAAUAAAUAAAGUUAGCAGCAUGUUCUUUUCUGUGCUCCGUUUAGAUAAUUAGCAGGGAACAUGAUAUCUGUAUUCUGUCUGCAAAGUUGUCUUUGGAUGGGAAAAGUGAAAGUGAAACAGACUGGCUCUUGAAUGCAUAACAGGCGACUCGGAGAUACAAACAUAAUGGCGUGGUUUAGAAACAAGAGCUCUACUUCACCGUACUCAACUUUAGACAUGAAAGUAGACAGAAAUGAGUCUAAAACAACCACAGAAAACGAAGAUUCAUUCAGAAGUUUAUCUGAACACGCAGAGGGGGAUGUCAGUGAGGGUCAACAUGAGGCUGAUGAAAGCCAGGAGCCCGAGAGCAGGGUGACAGGGCCAAAAGAAGAAGAGGAAGAGUUUGACAGCAGAGAGUAUCGAGUUCACACUACCGAUGAAUUCUACUGCGACUAUGAUUCAACCUGGGAGACCGACCCGAAUGAGGAGAGCCCACCCAGCAGGAUCAGACAGACAACAAACUCCAACUAUUACAAGUUCAGCAGAUUUGAACGUGCUGCGAGAGACAUGCAGAACUUCAGACAUGACUACCCUGUAAGUCUCACACACACACACUGUAAACAGACACUCUCAUGUUUAAGCACAAGCCAAGCACAUGUUGUUCUUUUAUGUGUCCCUGCAGAACCAAAUCAAGACACAGCACAGGAAGAAGAACACAAAUGUAUGUACAUACACAUUUAUUGUUACACUUACUUGCUUUAUUUUUAA
rnacentral:lncRNA from 1 species